rnacentral:rRNA from 1 species
AGAGUUUGAUCCUGGCUCAGGAUGAACGCUAGCUACAGGCUUAACACAUGCAAGUCGAGGGGCAGCAUCAUCAAAGCUUGCUUUGAUGGAUGGCGACCGGCGCACGGGUGAGUAACACGUAUCCAACCUGCCAACAACACUGGGGUAGCCUUUCGAAAGAAAGAUUAAUACCGGAUGGCAUAGUUUUCCCGCAUGGGAUAAUUAUUAAAGAAUUUCGGUUGUCGAUGGGGAUGCGUUCCAUUAGGCAGUUGGCGGGGUAACGGCCCACCAAACCAACGAUGGAUAGGGGUUCUGAGAGGAAGGUCCCCCACAUUGGAACUGAGACACGGUCCAAACUCCUACGGGAGGCAGCAGUGAGGAAUAUUGGUCAAUGGACGAGAGUCUGAACCAGCCAAGUAGCGUGAAGGAUGACUGCCCUAUGGGUUGUAAACUUCUUUUAUACGGGAAUAAAGUUAGCCACGUGUGGCUUUUUGUAUGUACCGUAUGAAUAAAGAUCGGCUAACUCCGUGCCAGCAGCCGCGGUAAUACGGAGGAUCCGAGCGUUAUCCGGAUUUAUUGGGUUUAAAGGGAGCGUAGGCGGGUUGUUAAGUCAGUUGUGAAAGUUUGCGGCUCAACCGUAAAAUUGCAGUUGAUACUGGCGACCUUGAGUGCAACAGAGGUAGGCGGAAUUCGUGGUGUAGCGGUGAAAUGCUUAGAUAUCACGAAGAACUCCGAUUGCGAAGGCAGCUUACUGGAUUGUAACUGACGCUGAUGCUCGACAAGUGUGGGUAUCAAACAGGAUUAGAUACCCUGGUAGUCCACACAGUAAACG